CUGAUAAUGAAUAACGUUGUGCUAUUAGUAUAGUAACUCAUGCGAUAUGACGGAUAGGUAAUUGAAAAAAAAUAUAUAAAAUAUCGACAAAAAAAAAGGAAACGGCGAUGGAAGAAGCGAUGAUGAGGUGUGACACCCCUAUAGUCUCAUAUCAGAUUGGAAUGGAAUUGUCAUUGAAUAUAUAAGAGGACUUUCUCCUAAUAAUAAUAACUAGUUUAAACAAUUUGGGCCGGUGGUUUUGGCCCAACGAAUUAUUAUUGCCAGUAGGUCGGAUCGUUACAUUUGGUAUCAAAAUCGGUUCACCAGUCGGAAGUGUGAGGUGAGUCUUGGC
rnacentral:lncRNA from 1 species